CACUGGGGCGGGGCUGGGGGGAGCCUGGAAGAGGAGCUGGGAGAACCUGGCCUCUGGACGGAUUUAGGGACAUUGCCUCUUCUCCUUCCUCGGGUGCUACGGCUACAGGCACAGCCCGGCCCCAGGCCUCCCGGCCAAGCUUCAGUGAGCUUCAGGUGUUAGCAGCAGGGAGCCGCAUCAGGGAGGCUGAGAGAGGACGGGCUCCCAACCGGCCAGGCCUCAGGCUCCAGGUGGAGGUCGGGGCUCACAGCCCACCCCUCUGAUGAGAAGCAGGCAGAGUCGAGCUGCCCCGCCCCCGUCAGAAGCUAUAACCUUGGGCCACCAUUCUGAACAUGGCAGAAAAGUUUUCCUUCCUUGGAGUGAAAAGGCUUUUGGUGGAAGUUCUUCCUAUUGACUGCCUAGCACAGCCCCUGCCCCAGGAAUCUCAAGGGCCAUUCUGCCCCGCCAAGGCAAUCUCUGCGUUGAGUGACACUUGUCUAAUGGAAGAAGGCUUUCCAGAGCAUUGCAUCUCCAUCCUCUGCACCUCUGAAUCCGGUCAAGUGUGAGGCUAUUUCCUGAUCAUCAGCCAGGUGCCAGGCAUUGGUGCUGUGCCCGUGAAUAAAAUAGUGUUUACCCAGCCUCUGCGAUAUGCCAUGGAAAUACCAAGGGCUGCAGCGAGCCUCCCGUCCAGGAGGGGGCGACAGACGUGAAGCACAGCCUCACCUGCCGGAGUGCCUAAUUGCCAAAUGGGCUCAGAAGAGAGCUCUAUCCUUCGAAA